GGGGGGGCCUAUACAUGCAGUCGAGCGGACAGAUGGGAGCUUGCUCCCUGAUGUUAGCGGCGGACGGGUGAGUAACACGUGGGUAACCUGCCUGUAAGACUGGGAUAACUCCGGGAAACCGGGGCUAAUACCGGAUGGUUGUCUGAACCGCAUGGUUCAGACAUAAAAGGUGGCUUCGGCUACCACUUACAGAUGGACCCGCGGCGCAUUAGCUAGUUGGUGAGGUAACGGCUCACCAAGGCGACGAUGCGUAGCCGACCUGAGAGGGUGAUCGGCCACACUGGGACUGAGACACGGCCCAGACUCCUACGGGAGGCAGCAGUAGGGAAUCUUCCGCAAUGGACGAAAGUCUGACGGAGCAACGCCGCGUGAGUGAUGAAGGUUUUCGGAUCGUAAAGCUCUGUUGUUAGGGAAGAACAAGUGCCGUUCAAAUAGGGCGGCACCUUGACGGUACCUAACCAGAAAGCCACGGCUAACUACGUGCCAGCAGCCGCGGUAAUACGUAGGUGGCAAGCGUUGUCCGGAAUUAUUGGGCGUAAAGGGCUCGCAGGCGGUUUCUUAAGUCUGAUGUGAAAGCCCCCGGCUCAACCGGGGAGGGUCAUUGGAAACUGGGGAACUUGAGUGCAGAAGAGGAGAGUGGAAUUCCACGUGUAGCGGUGAAAUGCGUAGAGAUGUGGAGGAACACCAGUGGCGAAGGCGACUCUCUGGUCUGUAACUGACGCUGAGGAGCGAAAGCGUGGGGAGCGAACAGAUUAGAUACCCUGGUAGUCCACGCCGUAAACGAUGAGUGCUAAGUGUUAGGGGG
rnacentral:rRNA from 1 species